AAGCUCAUAGUUCAGUGGUAGAACGCUUGGUUUACAUCCAAGAAGUCGUGGGUUCAAUUCCUACUGGGCUUA
rnacentral:tRNA from 1 species